CUUUGUUGUUGCUAACUGGAAGCCCGGGAAAGCCAAAAGAAGACAACGAAGGUGAUUUGGAGACAUGUAUUUUCCCUGGAGUCACAUCUGAUGAUAGGGAUCUCAAAUACAAUACAGGGACUCAUCACCCGCCUUCACCAACCCCAAGGCAGGACCUUUGUAAAAAUCCCAGAACAGAGAUUUUUCCCAGCCUGAAAAAGAGCGGAGCAUAAGUCACCUCACCUUCACAGCAGGAUGGGGUGGUCACCUGUAGUACGGUAGGUAGCGGUCAGCAAACGUUGGCUAUCUCCCAAGUCAUUGUCUUACCUCUGUAAGUAUCUGCUUACCUCUCAUCUCCACAGUUCUUGGCAAGGCACACAUCUGGAUGUGUUGAUGGGGGUUAGAGAUCUUGAGUGCAGAAGUGGAGGACUGUUGGGCCCCUGGUAAUAGGUACCUACCCCUUCAGAGAUUCACCGGUAUGUCUAGUGAGACAUGAGGGCUAAAGGAAAGCAAAAUAGGUUAAAAACAGCAGAUAGUGUCUCCCAGGCCCUGAGCACAGCUUCCUGACAACUCCUCAGUUUCUGUCUCCAUU
rnacentral:lncRNA from 1 species